rnacentral:rRNA from 1 species
GCCUGCAGCCAAAUCACCCUGCAGCUCUCAACUGGCUACCCACUGAAGCUAAGCAUGGUUAAGCCUGGGCAGUACCUGGAUGGGAGACCACUUGGGAAGCUAUGGUGGCUGCCUGAA